GACGAACGCUGGCGGCGUGCUUAACACAUGCAAGUCGAACGGGCCUUGUCCCCUUUUUUUUUGGGGGUGGGGUUAGUGGCGCACGGGUGAGUAACACGUGAGUAACCUGCCCCUCACUUCUGGAUAACCGCUUGAAAGGGUGGCUAAUACGGGGUGUUCUGGCCUGCUCGCAUGGGUGGGUUUGGAAAGAUUCGACCGGUUUUGGUUGUUUUGGUGGGGGAUGGGCUCGCGGCCUAUCAGCUUGUUGGUGGGGUGAUGGCCUGCCAAGGCUUUGACGGGUAGCCGGCCUGAGAGGGUGGGCGGUCACACUGGGACUGAGACACGGCCCAGACUCCUACGGGAGGCAGCAGUGGGGAAUAUUGCACAAUGGGCGCAAGCCUGAUGCAGCGACGCCGCGUGAGGGAUGGAGGCCUUCGGGUUGUGAACCUCUUUCGCCAGUGAAGAAGGUCCUGCUCUUUGUGGUGGGGUUGACGGUAGCUGGGUUAAUGAAGCGCCGGCUAACUACGUG
rnacentral:rRNA from 1 species